rnacentral:lncRNA from 1 species
ACCUCCAAGGGCUCUGCAGAUGUAUUCUCGCCAGUUCUGAUGCACGCAGCAGUGCUUCACCCCAACAGGCUUUGAACUCCCCGUGGGUUGUUGUCCUUUCCUUGAUGCAGUGAGUCUGGAAGACCUGGUGGCUGUUUUCAUACAGGGACACAGGACAGAUGCCAGCAGGUUUGCCAGGUGCUUGCUUCACCUUCUAUGCUUCCACCCUUUACCUCACCCAUGGCUGUCUCAGAUUUAUUUCAUUUGUCACUGUCCUUAUGAAGUGAAAUGGGGAUGUUUUUAUUUACCUCAAAGAACCACAGCUCAGCCCAGUGCUUUCUUUUCCUUAGCAUGUAGGUAUCAUGGGAAAAUAAUCUGCAGGUCCUGGAAACCCUUUCUUCAGGAGACAAAAACUGCACCCAGCAGGUAUUUAUGGUGUUUGAUGUCUUAGGACAAGAGAUCAGGUCCAGCCCUGCUGAAGUAUCUAACUGCAUAUCUUUCUGAUCUGCCUCUGUCUGAGCUUACAGCAAAAAGGCAGAUGAGAUGCUGAAGAUACCAAGAUAAGCCUGUGGGAUGGUCUUUGGGCUUGUCUAGUGGAAAUGCAGCAAAGGUGAGGACAUCAGGCAGUGCGAAGCAGGGAAGCAUCCUUGAGACUGGGUUCUGCUUCUCCUAUGCAUCAUGUAGGAUAAGAGCUAAUAGCUUCAAGUUGCUCCAGAGAACAUUCAGGUUGGAUACUUGGAAAAAUUUCUUCCCAGAAAGAGCGGUGAGGUAUUGAUUAGGCUUUUCAGCGAGGUGGUGGAGUUACUGUCCCGAGAGGUGUUCAAGUAAGGGUAGAUGUGACACUGAGGAAAAUGGUCUAGAGUGGUCACAGGCAUGGACUGAUGGUUGGACUGGAUGAUCUAAGCACUCUUUUCAACUUCAGUGAUUCUAUGUCCUCUACACCUUGUUGUGAUGUGUGCCAGGCUGCUCAAAGGAGAAGAUGCUUUCAGCUCUAAGGCAUGAGCCUGGCUGUCUCUCAGCUUGACAGGAGGAGGAUGGUAUUAGAAAGCAGCAUGCAUGGGAGCUCCAUCUGCAGCAUGGGCGAAGG